rnacentral:ncRNA from 1 species
CUUAUCCAGAGCAACGGAGGAAUGGGUCCUGUGAAGUUGCGGCAACCCCUCGGUGCGGCGUGAUCUGCGCUGUGCCCUGUACGGUGCCAAUUCCCGCGGUAAGAGAUCGGAUAUCUCUUAGCCGAAAGAUGAGG